AUUGACUCCCUGAAUAGUGAGCAGUUACCAGCUACUAGUUCAUUCAACAUACGAGCUAAUCAGUAAGUGCUAAGUGCAUUCACCAUGUCCUGCCAAUUGGAUGGACAAAGCUAUAUAACACCUUAUGAUAUCGGGUUAUUAGUGAAUUUCAAAUUUCCUUACUUACAUUCACCUAAAUUUAUUACUCGCCUUAUUUUCUGCCCACUAACUUAGACAUGGUAGUGCCAAUUUGAAAAGACCCCACUUAGCCCUUUGCCCUCUUGUUUCG
rnacentral:misc_RNA from 1 species